GAUGAACGCUGGCGGCGUGCCUAAUACAUGCAAGUCGAGCGAACAGACGAUGAGCUUGCUCCUCUGACGUUAGCGGCGGACGGGUGAGUAACACGUGGAUAACCUACCUAUAAGACUGGGAUAACUUCGGGAAACCGGAGCUAAUACCGGAUAAUAUAUUGAACCGCAUGGUUCAAUAGUGAAAGACGGUUUUGCUGUCACUUAUAGAUGGAUCCGCGCCGCAUUAGCUAGUUGGUAAGGUAACGGCUUACCAAGGCAACGAUGCGUAGCCGACCUGAGAGGGUGAUCGGCCACACUGGAACUGAGACACGGUCCAGACUCCUACGGGAGGCAGCAGUAGGGAAUCGUCCGCAAUGGGCGAAAGCCUGACGGAGCAACGCCGCGUGAGUGAUGAAGGUCUUCGGAUCGUAAAACUCUGUUAUUAGGGAAGAACAAAUGUGUAAGUAACUAUGCACGUCUUGACGGUACCUAAUCAGAAAGCCACGGCUAACUACGUG
rnacentral:rRNA from 1 species